CAGAAGCAGCCUUUGCAGCUCAGAGCUUGUCCUCUAGAGAAUUAAACCUAAGGAGUCUCACGGACUGUUAUGAAGGGGGAAUUAAUGCGAGACCCUCACACGACACCUUGGUACCCUGAUUUCUUUCACUGAAGUGCUACGAAGGCAGAAACACCAGCCUACUCCCUUCAGAUCUGCUUCUAAGAGCAGCUAACUAAACAUAGCAUGGGGAGGAAUGCUGAAGAACACAGGAAAAAAUAACCACAACAGCACAGAGUUCACUGAAGCAGAAGACACCAGAAAGUACCUUAGAUGCCAAGGCAAUAGCAGCAAGGAAUGUCUCAUGCAUUCAAGGUGGAAGACCAUACCUGGAUUUGCCAUAUUGUUUCUGAAACUGGAUUUUCAUCCCAGCAGAUGAAAUUAGCAGAGAAGCAAGGAAGCAGCAGUGUUUCCUGGAUAAGCAGCAUAGCACCACUGGUACAUUUCUAAGAAGGCUACCCACAGGAAUGAGUGCUUCUGAGUACCUCCUGGCUUAGUUUUACACCUUGAUGGCCUGAAGCCAUGAACAACCAUUCUCCUCCUCCCGAAACCCUGCCAGCUGAUAAUCCCUGGACACAGCAUCCAGAAGAAGACAGCAGCACCAAAGGCAGAGAUCGUCCCUCAACAGG